rnacentral:lncRNA from 1 species
UUUAUUUUGAGAUGGAGUCUUGCUCUGUCACCUAGGCUGGAGUGCAGUGGUGGGAUCUCGGCUCACUGCAGCCUCUGCCUCCUGGGUUCAAGCAAUUCUGCCUCAGCCUUCCGAGUAGCUGGGAUUACAGGCGCAUGCCACAACACCCCGCUGAUUUUUGUAUUUUUAGUAGAGACAGGGUUUCACCAUGUUGGCCAGGCUGGUCUCGAACUCCUCACCUCAUGAUCCACCCGCCUUGGCCUCCCAAAGUGCUGGGAUUACAGCCAUGAGCCACUGCACCUGGCCUAUUUCUUUACCUUGUAGAUAGCAGCUUUUUAUUUAAUAAAGUCUUUUUUUUUUAGCAAAUAUAAUAGUAUGUUUUAAGUUUUUCCUACACUGUAGAAAUAGUCCUUUCGUGUGUGUGUGUGUGUGUGUGUGUGUGUGUGUGUAUAUAUAUAUAUAUAUAUAUUUUUUUUUUUUCUUUUUUUGAGACAAAGUGUCUCUGUGUCAUCCAGGCUGGAGAGCAGUGGCAUGAACACGGCUCACUGCAGCCUCAACCUCCUGGGCUCUAGUGAUCCUCUUGUCCCAGCCACUUAUGUAGCUGGGACCACAGGAGUAUGCCACCAUGCCCAGCUAAUUUUUUGAUCUUGUAGAGACAAGGUCUCACUUUGUUGUGCAAGUUGGUUUCAAACUCCUGGGCUCAAGCUAUCCUCUUGCCUCCCAAAGUGCUGGGAUUACAGGCGUGAGCCACCACAUCUAUCCCCUUUCAGAUAUCUUAAUCUUGGUAAAUUCUUUCAGUUACUAAUCUGUGAUGAACUAAUUUUUUUCUUCACAUAUAUCAACAGUUGAGGAGCUCAAGCUUGGGAAAAUGGUGUGCAUUCCUUGUAUCGUCAUUCCAGUUCUGCUCUGGAUCUACAAAAAAUUCCUGGAGCCAUAUAUAUACCCUCUGGUUUCCCCCUUCGUUAGUCGUAUAUGGCCUAAGAAAGCAAUACAAGAAUCCAAUGAUACAAACAAAGGCAAAGUAAACUUUAAGGGUGCAGACAUGAAUGGAUUACCAACAAAAGGACCAACAGAAAUCUGUGAUAAAAAGAAAGACUAAAGAAAUUUUCCUAAAGGACCCCAUCAUUUAAAAAAUGGACCUGAUAAUAUGAAGCAUCUUCCUUGUAAUUGUCUCUGACCUUUUUAUCUGAGACCGGAAUUCAGGAUAGGAGUCUAGAUAUUUACCUGAUACUAAUCAGGAAAUAUAUGAUAUCCGUAUUUAAAAUGUAGUUAGUUAUAUUUAAUGACCUCAUUCCUAAGUUCCUUUUUCGUUAAUGUAGCUUUCAUUUCUGUUAUUGCUGUUUGAAUAAUAUGAUUAAAUAGAAGGUUUGUGCCAGUAGACAUUAUGUUACUAAAUCAGCACUUUAAAAUCUUUGGUUCUCU